CCGAACAUAGCUCAGUUGGUAGAGCGGAAGACUGUAGUGUUACCAUAGCAAUCUUUAGGUCCCUGGUUCAAAUCCGGGUGUUCGGA
rfam:Basidiobolus meristosporus CBS 931.73 K493scaffold_1175, whole genome shotgun sequence.